rnacentral:tRNA from 1 species
UGGCAGGUAGUUCAGGCGGUAGAACAUUUCGUCGGGUUAGCGAAAAGGUCACGGGUUCAAGUCCCGUUCUGCCAG